rnacentral:rRNA from 1 species
AUUGAACGCUGGCGGAAUGCUUUACACAUGCAAGUCGAACGGUAGAGGGGGCAACCCCUCGAGAGUGGCGAACGGGUGAGUAAUAUAUCGGAACGUGCCCAGUCGUGGGGGAUAACGUAGCGAAAGUUACGCUAAUACCGCAUACGAUCUAAGGAUGAAAGCGGGGGAUCGCAAGACCUCGCCCGAUUGGAGCGGCCGAUAUCAGAUUAGGUAGUGGGUGGGGUAAAGGCUCACCAAGCCAACGAUCUGUAGCUGGACUGAGAGGACGACCAGCCACGCUGGACCUGCGACACGUUCCAGACUCCUACGGGAGGCAGCAGUGGAGAAUUGUGGACAAUGGGCGAAGGCCUGAUCCAGCCAUUCCGCGUGCAGGAUGAAGGCCCUCGGGGUGUAAACUGCUUUUGUACAGAACGAAAAGGUUUCUACUAAUACUAGGAGCUCAUGACGGUACUGUAAGAAUAAGCACCGGCUAACUACGUGCCAGCAGCCGCAGUAA